rnacentral:rRNA from 1 species
AUGCCAGGAGGCAUACACAAAAAGGUACUUGAAAGCCGUGUCAUGAAAGAUUGCAAUCCAGUUGACGCUCCAAUGAAACCUCGUCUUGAGCUAAGCAAGAAGAGUAAAGUAACUGCUGUUGAUGCAAUAGAGUAUAUUGCAGCGGCCGCUGCGGCGUGUCAAGGUGUGUGGUUAGGGAGGCUACACAGUGAUCUCAUGGAUCGAAAUCCGAAACAAGUGGUGCUCAAUGUUGAAGGCAAGUCUACAACUUUUCUACGUGAGGAUCCAGUGUGGCAUGAUAGGGGCAAGCACAUUGAUAUGGUAUAUCACUACAUAAAGGACUACGUGGAAGAAGGUAAGAUGAAGGUCAAUUAUGUUUGCACCGAUGAUCAGCUGGCGGACAUGCUAACCAAGGCUUUGGAUCGAGAGAAGUUCUUGGAGAUGACAAGAAGGAUCGGCGUCGGAGCUGUAACGUAA